GAUGAACGCUGGCGGCGUGCCUAAUACAUGCAAGUCGAGCGAACGGACGAGAAGCUUGCUUCUCUGAUGUUAGCGGCGGACGGGUGAGUAACACGUGGAUAACCUACCUAUAAGACUGGGAUAACUUCGGGAAACCGGAGCUAAUACCGGAUAAUAUUUUGAACCGCAUGGUUCAAAAGUGAAAGACGGUCUUGCUGUCACUUAUAGAUGGAUCCGCGCUGCAUUAGCUAGUUGGUAAGGUAACGGCUUACCAAGGCAACGAUGCAUAGCCGACCUGAGAGGGUGAUCGGCCACACUGGAACUGAGACGCGGUCCAGACUCCUACGGGAGGCAGCAGUAGGGAAUCUUCCGCAAUGGGCGAAAGCCUGACGGAGCAACGCCGCGUGAGUGAUGAAGGUCUUCGGAUCGUAAAACUCUGUUAUUAGGGAAGAACAUAUGUGUAAGUAACUAUGCACAUCUUGACGGUACCUAAUCAGAAAGCCACGGCUAACUACGUG
rnacentral:rRNA from 1 species